AAUUCCAAAACUUUCAACUGAUUUGAAUUCCCCACAACAACUAGGGCGGGGGCGGAUCUGGCAAAAUGAGACUUGACAAAUGCAUCAGACUCCAGCAGAUGGAGCCAUCGCUUGCAAACACAUUUGCUUAUUGGAAUGCUUACAACAGGUAGUCUUAAGAAGAUCUCGGUGAUGAUUUCUGGUGGUAGAUUUUUGAAGAAAUCUGGCUUCAUUUUGGGAUGGAUUGAGAGGGGUUUUUCAAGAGUAUAAUAGAAACUCCAAUCUGAGACAUGUGUUGAACAAAUUCAUGGAGCAGAGGCAGAAAAAGAGAGUGAAGGGCGGAAGCGGUGGGAAUGGGGGGCGGCGGAAAUGAAAAUAGGGCAACAGAUAAUAAUUUCAAACCCUCUCCGCUGCUUUUUCGCCCCAUUUGAGUCCAUUUUCACAUUUUUUCCAAUUAUAUUUAUUGUAAUAAUUUACUGACCGUAUUUUCACAUUUUUUUUCCAUUUCAGCACAUUAAUUUUAUUUUAAUAAUUUCUUGAUUCUAUUUUUAAACGACGUCUUCAUCAAAUUUAACCUUUGGUUUAUUUUUCUGUAGGGUUAAUGGUAGUUUUUACCAUUUCGAAAUACAAAAACAAAACUAUACCCACUAUAAAAGAAAUGUAUAAAAUGUAUUCAUUUUGAGGUUGAAAGGACUAAGAUACCCUUAAGACAAAAAGAAAAUACCAAACAAAUCCCCUUGCUCGCCAAACUCGACAUCUCCGCCUUGCUCGACAAUUCAAUGCUCGACGCUCGACGCCUUCGCCUCGCUCGAUAGUUCUUAGUUGCUCGACACGCGAUGCUCGAGGUGUUCGCCUUACUCGACAGUUCAAUGCUCGACGCUUGACGCCUCCGUCUCGCUCAACAGUUCUCAGUUGCUCGACACUUGAGUGCUCGACGUCGACGCUUCAGUGUCGAGCAAUGCACGAAUUACAAAUAAGGGUAAAAAUGUUCUAAGUGGGUAGAUUUUAUUGUUUUGAAAAAAAUGGGUAUAUUCUCCUCAAAAAAAAAAUGGGUAUAUUUUAUGUUUCAUUUUCAAAGAAGGUAUAUCUCAUUUUGCCUCUUUUCUUUAUUCUUUCCGCCUGAUUUUGAAUAUUGUCUUUUUUUAGCUUAGUUUUUCUUUGUUUCCUUUGUUGGGUGGAGUUAAUUGUUCAUAGACGAAUUAUAUUCAAAUUUUGAUUUUAAAUUUAAUCUAUUUUAUUGGCUAAAAAAUAAAUAAUUUUUUAUUUUUCUAAAUAAAAAACUUUAACAGUUAAAGAUACAUAAUAUAAUUAAUUCAAAAUAUAUAAAUUAGUAAUAACUUUCGGCCUAUUCGAUGUCAACAUAUCCAUAAUAUUUGUUUGAUUUCCACUGUACUGGAAGGAAAAUGAAUUAGAUGGUUUGAUUCGAUUUUUAAGUGGUCAAUAUCAAACUAGCCUAUUUCUUAUAGUAAAUUAAAAAUUUAUCCAUUAUAAUAAAAACUUUAAAAAUUACCCACUUUUUGUUAAAUGACUAAAUUGUCCUUAAAAUUAAAAUUAAAAAAUUACUCACAAAUACAUCAUCACGAAAAUACUACACAUUUCAAAAUCAUGCUUUUUUGAGCAAGCAAUCAGAUCAAGGUGCUGUCGAAACUCGAAGAUAUUGUGUUUUCUUUCUCUUUUUUUUUUUUUUAAAUUAGAGCAAAUUAAUAGUGAGAUGUAGCCAUGGGAUUAGAUCUAAUACAUAUUUCUAGUGAAACUCCAAAAUUGGAGAGAUUGAAAUACAGAUUGCGAUGAGUAUCAAUCAUUCCAUUACUCAAAUCCAAAAUUUGCCAUUUUCGAAAGAUAUCCAAGAAGGUGGGUUAUUGGUUUUGGAUUGGAUAAAAACACUAUUAUCAAUAACUUCGAUAUACGUUUACAUCAAUAAGGUGGACCAUAUAGUAUUUUGAUCGAUUGAAAGUAACAAAAAAUUAGAUAAUUAAUUAAUGUUCUUGAAUUACGACUAGAUUAUGAAUUCAUAAUUUAAUGUUCUUAAUUCACAACUAGAUCUAUUGCAACUAAAAUUAGAAUUAAUAACCAAUUUGAUGAAUUCACAACUAAAAUUGUUGGAGUUCGAUUUUCUAACUCCAUAAAUAUCUCUCUUGUUGUUAGUAUUGUUUUGCCUUUCUCCAAUUAAAAGUUUUGUAGGGUGUUUCGACCAAGUCAAAGAGAUUGAAAGAGGAGACUCGGUUGUUCCUAUAAAGAAGAAGGAAGUGGAGAUAAAGGGAGAGAGAAAAGAGGAGCUUGUUGGUAGCUCCUAGAAACAAGGGAGAAGUGGACUCAGAGCACUCCUAGCAGAAAUUGCAAAAUUAUGCUCCUAUAUUCCUCCCUAACGUUUCCCUAUUUAAUUUUAGGAUCUCGAUUUUAUAAAUGCAUACACCAGAUCUCCUAAACAAUAAUUAUGUGUGGGCCCUACUAAUUAUAAGCUUAAAAUAAAUUUAGGGUGGGUGUAAAUUUAAGAUUGAAUUUAGGUAGGUGUAAAAUUUUUUGUGAGCCCCAUCCAAUUUAGGGGAUCUGUUGGAUGCAUUUUUUUAUCUCAUUUUUAAUUAUUUUAGCCUAAAUUUAGAGUUAAUGAUAGGUGAUCUGUUGGGAGUGAGCCCCGUCCAUUUCUGAUAGGUGAUCUGUUGGGAGUGCUACCUAGAGUUAUAAAAAAAUAAGUUGGGUAGAGGAACUUAUUUUUUGGGGAGCUUAUAAGCUCUUGAAGCUUAUUUUUGGAGCUUAUAAGCGGUUUAGGAACUUAUUUUGUCAAACACUUUGAAGGAUCUUAUAAGCUCCUAAACAGCUUAUAAGCUGUUUUGAGGAGCUUAUAAGCUUAGCCAAACACCCUCUUAGUGGAUUAACCGCAACAACCAUCAAACCUAAGUGAAUUUAGUCCGAAAGCCAUCAAGACAGACACACAGUAUUAGAUUCUCAAAUAUUAAACUCCUAAAAUUCCUUCAACAAAAGAAAUUCAAUUAUUCGUCAGCGUGCCUGCUUCUCACAAACCAUCAACAAGUUCAAUCAAUUUUUUUGUUUUUUUUUUUCUAAUGCAUACAAAACUCCCUGCCAUAUUUAUAAUUAAUUUAACAUCCUUGCACCCCCUGUGUUUUUUUUUUUUUCUUUUCCGAAAAGCUAUGCCCACUAAUCCUCUUGCCUAAAACUAAUACCCAUUCAACAAUACCAACUCAUACGAACCACAAUAGAAGAAUCGAGCAACGGGAUUUGCAGCAAGCCAGGUAAACUACUGAUCUGCAAACAAAAAGAAAUUUUGGCAAGUAACCCUGACCUCAAUUGCUUCAAUUCCUUUCUCUUAUUUCUUGUUCUCCACACUGCAAAUAACCCAAAUCCAUCUCUCCUUCUUCUUCUUCCACUUGGUUUCGCACGAUGCCGACUGCUAAACGCAACACCUCUUUUUUUUUAUAAAAAAUGGAUAUUCAAAGAGAGUUUCUCUCAAUGAAAGCACCAAUUGAUACGAUUAUAUCAGUGGUGGAGCUUUUCGAGCAAGCUCAAACUCCAGAAAUUAAGAAGUGAGAGAUUUGAUAAAAAUCAACCAAAAUAUUCAUUUCCUGCUGAGCAAAUUUAGAGAUUACAUAUUUAUAUUUGCUAAUAAAAACCUAAUGGGCUGGAGCAUAAUUGGGCCAAUCUAGAGAUUGGGUUGGGCGUAUCACAUAACAUAAUUCUUUAAUCUAUACACAUCCUAUCCUCUAUUCUUGUUUAUUUGUCCAAUCAUGCAAUUAUUUCAUAUUGCCAGAUAUCACUGCAUAAAUCCAUAUAUAACAAACAACAAUCUCAUCAUCACAUGAUUCAUCACAAAAAAACACAGGCAAUAAUCCUUCAAACUGUACAAGCAGGAGCAGCAUCAUUGCCACUAAGAAAUGUACCAAAGGAAACAUAAUAUACAUAUAUAUAGUUUCCUUGAUCUAAAUGAUACAAAUUCAAUCUUCAAACAUACAUUUAGUUGAUGCUAGUCUAGACUAAAGAGAUGGUAGCAUUAUGAAAAUGCAAACAAUCAGAAUGAGGUUACAUUCUCCACACCUAAACCUAAAGUUUUGAGUACUGAAACAAGGGUGGGAGUGAAAAGCCGAUACUUGACACGGUCAGAGGUCUCCCCUGCACCAAACAAAUCAAUACUUUGCAUAGUUUAUUCUUGUUAGAGUAGUAGAAAAGGCGCUCGGAGAAGUACACCGUCACUAACAUCAAUAGGUCCCCAUUUUCGAAAACUUUGAUGGGAUCAACAUACGUCGAGCCAUCAUCAAUGGGGAUCACAUAUUCCAUGCUCCAAGAUUCGUCCACUCCAUAUUCCUUCAUAAUCCAUACAGUAAGCUCACAUCGCCCACCAUAACUUUCAUAUUCGGAUGCUACCUUGCAAAACCAUAGGCAACCGCUCAAAGCAGAAAUGGUCGUUCCUCUUAUGAAGGGCAAUUCUUGAGCAUGAUAAGGAGGAGCUUUAAAGAAGCUAAAACAUUCCGUUUCAAGAUCAAAGCAAGAAAUCCAUGACGAAUCUUCUCCAAAUGGUUGCUAACCAAUGGAGAUUUCCAUUAACAAAUGCACCUUCACCAUACUGGUACACAAACGGAAUACCUUCAAGGCGUCGCCAAGAUCCUGUUCCAAGAGUGUAUACAUGACAAUCCAAUUUAUCAUCAUAGCCAUAGGGCUUACUUCUAAUACUGACCGCCUUGGAGUAGAUGUGAUUUUGCUUUCCCCAAAUCCAAAACCAGAUACUUCUGGAGUAGAUCGUUGUGAAUCUGAAGGCAGAUCCAGCUUAAUAACUUCACGAGUAAUCGGAUUACAUACAGAAAGCAUAUCAACACGCAUCCUUAGAACAAGAAAACCAUUAACAGAACUCUGUAUUCUUCCUCGGUGGUAAUUAGGGAAAUCAUACUUGAUGAGUGGAUCGUGGCUCUCGAGGUCCAGAUCGAGCUCGCCUUCGAAUUCCAAAACUUUCAACCGACCUGAAUUCCCCACAACAACGAGGGCGGGGGCGGAUCUGGCAAAAUGAGACUUGACAAAAGCAUCAGACUCCAGCAGAUGGAUCCAUCGCUUGCAAACACAUUUGCUUAUUAGAAUGCUUACAGCAGGUAGUCUUAAGAAGAUCUCGGUGAUGAUUUCUGGUGGUAGAUUUUUGAAGAAAUCUGGCUUCAUUUUGGGAUGGAUUGAGAGGUGAAAAAAAAAAUCAUGAACUAAUUGGGUUAGGGUUUAGAAAGAGAAGAGGGAGAAGAGAAGAAAGAGAGAAGGAAUGGAUAUUCAAAGAGAGUUUCUGUCAAUGAAAGCACCAAUUGAUACGAUUAUAUCAGUGGUGGAGCUUUUCGAGCAAGCUCAAACUCCAGAAAUUAAGAAAGAAGUGAGAGAUUUGAUAAAAAUCAACCAAAAUAUUAAUUUCCUGCUGAGCAAACUUAGAGAUUACAUAUUUAUUU
rnacentral:lncRNA from 1 species